GAUGAACGCUGGCGGCGUGCUUAACACAUGCAAGUCGAACGGGAAUUACUUUAUUGAAACUUCGGUCGAUUUAAUUUAAUUUUAGUGGCGGACGGGUGAGUAACGCGUGGGUAGCCUGCCUUAUACAGGGGGAUAACAGUCAGAAAUGGCUGCUAAUACCGCAUAAGCGCACAGAGCUGCAUGGCUCAGUGUGAAAAACUCCGGUGGUAUAAGAUGGACCCGCGUUGGAUUAGCUUGUUGGUGAGGUAACGGCCCACCAAGGCGACGAUCCAUAGCCGGCCUGAGAGGGUGAACGGCCACAUUGGGACUGAGACACGGCCCAGACUCCUACGGGAGGCAGCAGUGGGGAAUAUUGCACAAUGGGGGAAACCCUGAUGCAGCGACGCCGCGUGAAGGAAGAAGUAUCUCGGUAUGUAAACUUCUAUCAGCAGGGAAGAUAGUGACG
rnacentral:rRNA from 1 species